rnacentral:rRNA from 1 species
ACGCUGACAGAAUGCUUAACACAUGCAAGUCAACUUGAAUUUGGGUUUUUAACUUAGAUUUGGGUGGCGGACGGGUGAGUAACGCGUAAAGAACUUGCCUCACAGCUAGGGACAACAUUUAGAAAUGAAUGCUAAUACCUGAUAUUAUAAUUUUAAGGCAUCUUAGAAUUAUGAAAGCUAUAAGCACUGUGAGAGAGCUUUGCGUCCCAUUAGCUAGUUGGAGAGGUAACAGCUCACCAAGGCGAUGAUGGGUAGCCGGCCUGAGAGGGUGAACGGCCACAAGGGGACUGAGACACGGCCCUUACUCCUACGGGAGGCAGCAGUGGGGAAUAUUGGACAAUGGACCGAGAGUCUGAUCCAGCAAUUCUGUGUGCACGAUGAAGUUUUUCGGAAUGUAAAGUGCUUUCAGUUGGGAAGAAAAAAAUGACGGUACCAACAGAAGAAGUGACGGCUAAAUACGUGCCAGCAGCCGCGGUAAUACGUAUGUCACGAGCGUUAUCCGGAUUUAUUGGGCGUAAAGCGCGUCUAGGUGGUUAUGUAAGUCUGAUGUGAAAAUGCAGGGCUCAACUCUGUAUUGCGUUGGAAACUGUAUAACUAGAGUACUGGAGAGGUAAGCGGAACUACAAGUGUAGAGGUGAAAUUCGUAGAUAUUUGUAGGAAUGCCGAUGGGGAAGCCAGCUUACUGGACAGAUA